UCCAAGGACACUUGUGUCCUGCACAGCAAUGAGGAGAUGCUUUACGUGUACCUGAGACCUGCAUUUCCUAUGUUUGAACUCUAAUUUCUGCUCUCCCAGCUGGCUUACUCUUUUUCUUUUUUUUUUUUUACUAUCUGGUCUAUUGUUAUCUAUACUCUUUGGCAAUUGCUGUUUCCUUUACAUGGUUCACAUACUGUAUCUAAUCCUCCCCCUUUUGUGUGGUCCUCCUUAUCGUUCUAAAAUUGUAUAUAUGUAUCUAUAGUCACCUUCUUUUCUCCAGAGGACACAUUGUCACCACGUUCAAGUAUUUGUUGGACCGGCCAGCCAUCCAGGUGAGUAAAUGUACCAAUUCUUAAGUGAGAUAAUUGAACCCGUUUUUUUUAUCCAACAGGGUUAUUUACUAAACAGAGAAUUGAAAGUAAAUUUCACGUUUAAGGACAAAGCAGCCAAAUUAGAAAAAUCCUCUAAGUCAGCUAUGCAUCCCUUUCAGCUAUUUAUGCUUUCAUUUAAAAUCCCACUUUACUUUGCAUUCUGAAUUUAAUGAAUAACUCUGCAAAUGUUCUAAAAAGCCAUUUGGACAGUGCAUGCAACCACAAAUAGUAUUACUAAGUCCGGGGAGGUUCAACUUAUAUCUCCAAAAAAGAUCUGUGUAAUUAGCAUUAACAGUUGUGUUAUACAAUGCCCCUUCCACAAAUUUAUUUAUUUAUAAAAUGUUUUACCAGGAUGGAUACAUUGAGAUUUCUCUCGUUUUCAAGUAUGUCCUGGGUCCACAAAACAUUGCAUUGUUACAAUAGGAUACAAUAUUAAAAAAAAA